UACAGAGGUGGCGAGCGUUGUUCGGAUUUACUGGGCGUAAAGGGUGCGUAGGUGGCACCGUGUGUCGGUUGUGAAAUCCCACUGCUCAAUGGUGGAACUGCAAUCGAAACUGCGGAGCUAGAGUGUAUGAGGGGAGAGGGGAAUUCUUGGUGUAGCGGUGAAAUGCGUUGAUAUCAAGAAGAACACCGGUGGCGAAGGCGCCUCUCUGGAAUACUACUGACGCUGAGGCACGAAAGCUAGGGGAGCAAACAGG
rnacentral:rRNA from 1 species